rnacentral:rRNA from 1 species
GACGAACGCUGGCGGCGUGCUUAACACAUGCAAGUCGAACGGAAAGGCCCUGCUUUUGUGGGGUGCUCGAGUGGCGAACGGGUGAGUAACGCGUGAGUAACCUGCCCUUGACUUUGGGAUAACUUCAGGAAACUGGGGCUAAUACCGGAUAGGAGCUCCUGCUGCAUGGUGGGGGUUGGAAAGUUUCGGCGGUUGGGGAUGGACUCGCGGCUUAUCAGCUUGUUGGUGGGGUAGUGGCUUACCAAGGCUUUGACGGGUAGCCGGCCUGAGAGGGUGACCGGCCACAUUGGGACUGAGAUACGGCCCAGACUCCUACGGGAGGCAGCAGUGGGGAAUAUUGCGCAAUGGGCGGAAGCCUGAUGCAGCAACGCCGCGUGCGGGAUGACGGCCUUCGGGUUGUAAACCGCUUUCGCCUGUGACGAAGCGUGAGUGACGGUAAUGGGUAAAGAGGCACCGGCUAACUACGUG